rnacentral:rRNA from 1 species
UACGAAGGGGGCUAGCGUUGCUCGGAAUCACUGGGCGUAAAGGGUGCGUAGGCGGGUCUUUAAGUCAGGGUGAAAUCCUGGAGCUCAACUCCAGAACUGCCUUUGAUACUGAGGAUCUUGAGUACGGGAGAGGUGAGUGGAACUGCGAGUGUAGAGGUGAAAUUCGUAGAUAUUCGCAAGAACACCAGUGGCGAAGGCGGCUCACUGGACCGGCAUUGACGCUGAGGUGCGAAAGCCAGGGGAGCAAACAGGG